rnacentral:rRNA from 1 species
UUGAAAAGAACUUUGAAGAGAGAGUUCAAGAGUACGUGAAACCGUUCAGGGGUAAACCUAAGAAACCCAAAAGAUCGAACGGGGAGAUUCAUCGUCAGCGACGCUGGCUUCGCGUCGGUGGGCGAUGUCCCGCGGGGCCUCGCGGCUCGCGCGCGGACACGCCGCCGUGCGCUCGAUGUCCGGCGUUUCGUCGUCGUGCACUUCUCCCCUAGUAGAACGUCGCGACCCGCUGGGUGUCGGUCUACGGCCCGGGUGCGGUGGCUGACGCGUCGCCGGUAACGCGGCACGCGUCAAACCCCCGGUCGCCCGGCCGGCUGCCCGGCGGUACACGCAAGGUAUCAGGCCGCACCGCGCGCGCGCGCCGCUCUCUCACGGGGGCGCGCGCGCGCGCGCGACUGUGCGUCGAGGCCGUCGCAAGCGCGCGCCACGGUACACGGAGGACAAACGGACCUGGCGCCGUCACCGGUCCUGGCCCGCUGUUGGUCGCACGGUUAACCUUCGACAGGCCCGCGAACGUUCCCCCUACGCCGCCGGGGCGACCCGACGGCGUUCGCGGGGACCGAUACCGGUCGGCGACGCUACUGCUUUGGGUACUCUUAGGACCCGUCUUGAAACACGGACCAAGGAGUCUAACAUGUACGCGAGUCAUUGGGACUAGCGGUAUACCUAAAGGCGCAAUGAAAGUGAAGGUCGGCCCUGGUUGUCGACCGAGGGAGGAUGGGCCGCGUCCCGACGCGGCCCCGCACUCCCGGGGCGUCUCGUUCUCAUCGCGAGAAGAGGCGCACCCAGAGCGUACACGUUGGGACCCGAAAGAUGGUGAACUAUGCCUGGUCAGGACGAAGUCAGGGGAAACCCUGAUGGAGGUCCGUAGCGAUUCUGACGUGCAAAUCGAUCGUCGGAACUGGGUAUAGGGGCGAAAGACUAAUCGAACCAUCUAGUAGCUGGUUCCCUCCGAAGUUUCCCUCAGGAUAGCUGGCACUCGGCCGUUCCGCACGGAACGCGCGCGAGUCUCAUCUGGUAAAGCGAAUGAUUAGAGGCCUUGGGGCCGAAACGACCUCAACCUAUUCUCAAACUUUAAAUGGGUGAGAUCUCUGGCUUUCUUGAACUAUGAAGCCACGAGCAUCUCGGAUCAGAGUGCCAAGUGGGCCAUUUUUGGUAAGCAGAACUGGCGCUGUGGGAUGAACCAAACGCGGAGUUAAGGCGCCCAACUCGACGCUCAUGGGACACCAUGAAAGGCGUUGGUUGCUUAAGACAGCAGGACGGUGGCCAUGGAAGUCGGAAUCCGCUAAGGAGUGUGUAACAACUCACCUGCCGAAGCAACUAGCCCUGAAAAUGGAUGGCGCUGAAGCGUCGAGCCUAUACUCCGCCGUCAGCGGCAAGUGGGGCGGCCGUGCGCGCCCGGGCGUCUCUACCCUCGCGGGGGGGACGCACCCGGGGUGACGCACGGGCCGCCACGAGGCCCUGACGAGUAGGAGGGUCGCGGCGGUGCGCGCAGAAGGGUCU